CUCUCGGUAGCCAAGUUGGUUUAAGGCGCAAGACUGUAAUUUCCAAAGUAAUCUUGAGAUCGGGCGUUCGAAUCGCCCCCGGGAGA
rnacentral:tRNA from 1 species